UACGUAGGGACCAAGCGUUGUUCGGAUUUACUGGGCGUAAAGGGCGCGUAGGCGGCAUGACAAGUCACUUGUGAAAUCUCUGGGCUUAACCCAGAACGGCCAAGUGAAACUGUCGCGCUAGAGUGCGGAAGGGGCAAUCGGAAUUCUUGGUGUAGCGGUGAAAUGCGUAGAUAUCAAGAGGAACACCUGAGGUGAAGACGGGUUGCUAGGCCGACACUGACGCUGAUGCGCGAAAGCCAGGGGAGCAAACGGG
rnacentral:rRNA from 1 species